GUUACGAUUGUUGAGUGGUGAAGAUACCGCCUUUCACUCUUGAGUCCCGGGAUCGAUCCCCGGUCGAGGAGCU